CUUCUACUCCCUCCGUCCCAUAUUAAGUGACUCAAAUUUGCCCAAAUAUGGAUGUAUUUAUGAUUAAAAAGCGGCUAGAUACAUGUAAUAGAAAGUCACUUAAUAUGGGACGGAGGGAGUAACUA
rfam:Brachypodium distachyon strain Bd21 chromosome 2, whole genome shotgun sequence.